CCCGGACCCGGUGAAAAUCCGGGUGGCUCUUCCGGCCGCCGAUCCGCCGGACAACC
rfam:Martelella mediterranea DSM 17316 strain MACL11, complete genome.